GAUCAUCAUGGUCCUCUUCAAACUCAAGGUUGUUCGUUCUUCCUCCUUCCUUCUUCUCCAAGCUGGGCGGGGGCGGGUACCUGCCAAAGGCACUCCGACGCUCAAGUCAGUAAAAGUGACCGAACGGUCAUCAAUAUAAGGGAUGCAUGUAGUGUGCAUAAUAUAUAUCGUCGUCUAAAAUCAUACCUGAGACCUUUAUUUAUACUAGUUGUAAUGGGCUUUUACCUUUUGUNGGCCUAAUGACGGCCCAAUCACACCUUAACCUCCAUUAGGGGCUUUAAUGAAUUAUUAUCGCUUAUAAUAUAUCCAUGGUGGUUGGUCGGCCUGGAUGAUCGGCCUGGUGACCCGGAUGAUUGGCCUGGAUGAUCGGCCUGGUGACUCGGAUGAUCGACUGGUGACUCGAAUGAUCGGCCUAAUGGUUGGUCAACCUAGAUGGUCGGCCUGGUGAACCGAAUGGUCGGCCUGGAAGGUCGGCUUGGAAGGUCGGCCUGGAAGGACUACACGAACAGCCAUAUGGGAGGACCGUAUGGUCAUUGGGAAAGACCGUACGGUCAGGUGGAGGGGUCGUACGGUACAUCAGCCCCCCAAUCCUGAGCAUAAUUUUAAUGAUCCGAAGGGUUUGUAAAUGGCCCUACUGGAAAGGGCGGGUUCAUCCAGUUUGCUUUUUGUCUGUGCCUUCGUUGUCCGAGCUGGAUGGGUCACUGAUCUUGCUUAAGUGAUGUUGUGGAGAUCUUUGGUGAGGCCAGUCGGGAUUCCUUUGUUAGG
rnacentral:lncRNA from 1 species